UGUGUAGGCGGCAAAGCAAGCGUCUUGUGAAAUACCUCGGCUUAACCGGGGAAUGGCUGGGCGAACUGCUUUGCUUGAGGCAAGUAGGGGUGCAUGGAACUCUUGGUGGAGCGGUGGAAUGCGUAGAUAUCAAGAGGAACGCCGAUGGUGAAGACAGUGCACUGGGCUUGUCCUGACGCUGAGACACGAAAGCGUGGGGAGCAAACGGGAUUAGAUACCCCGGUAGUCCACGCCCUAAACUAUGUCUACUAGGUUGCGAUAGUUCUGACACUGGCGCGACCGAAGCAAAAGUGUUAAGUAGACCGCCUGGGGAGUACGGUCGCAAGGCUAAA
rnacentral:rRNA from 1 species